AGUCGACGGAGACAGUAGCAAUAUUGUCUUAGUGGCGAACGGGUGAGUAACGCGUUGGUGACCUGCCUCGAAGAGAGGGAUAACAGUUCGAAAGGAUUGCUAAUACCUCAUGUGGUUGCUUGGGUUAGAGACCUUGCAACUAAACGGAUUUAUUCGCUUCGAGAGGGGCCUGCGUCCCAUCAGCUAGUUGGUAGGGUAAUGGCCUACCAAGGCGAUGACGGGUAGGGGACCUGAGAGGGUGGCCCCCCACAAUGGAACUGAAACACGGUCCAUACACCUACGGGUGGCAGCAGUAGGGAAUAUUGGUUAAUCUGGGAAACCGGGAACCAGCAACGCCGCGUGCGCGAUGAAGGCCUUCGGGUUGUAAAGCGCUUUUAGAGAGGAUGAGGAAGGACAGUACUCUCUGAAUAAGCCUCGGCUAACUACGUGCCAGCAGCCGCGGUAAAACGUAGGAGGCGAGCGUUAUCCGGAUUUACUGGGCGUAAAGCGCGUGUAGGCGGUUUGAUAAGUUGGAUGUGAAAGCUCCUGGCUUAACUGGGAGAGGUCGUUCAAAACUGUCAGACUUGAGAGUGGUAGAGGGAGGUGGAAUUCCGGGUGUAGUGGUGAAAUGCGUAGAUAUCCGGAGGAACACCAGUGGCGAAAGCGGCCUCCUGGACCAUUUCUGACGCUCAGACGCGAAAGCUAGGGUAGCAAACGGGAUUAGAGACCCCGGUAGUCCUAGCUGUAAACGAUGUGAACUUGGCGUCGGUGGGUUCAAAUCCAUCGGUGCCGAAGCUAACGCGAUAAGUUCACCGCCUGGGGACUACGGCCGCAAGGUUAAAACUCAAAGGA
rnacentral:rRNA from 1 species